AGUGAACGCUGGCGGUAGGCCUAACACAUGCAAGUCGAACGGCAGCACAGUAAGAGCUUGCUCUUACGGGUGGCGAGUGGCGGACGGGUGAGGAAUACAUCGGAAUCUACUUUUUCGUGGGGGAUAACGUAGGGAAACUUACGCUAAUACCGCAUACGACCUACGGGUGAAAGCAGGGGAUCUUCGGACCUUGCGCGAUUGAAUGAGCCGAUGCCGGAUUAGCUAGUUGGCGGGGUAAAGGCCCACCAAGGCGACGAUCCGUAGCUGGUCUGAGAGGAUGAUCAGCCACACUGGAACUGAGACACGGUCCCGACUCCUACGGGAGGCAGCAGUGGGGAAUAUUGGACAAUGGGCGCAAGCCUGAUCCAGCCAUACCGCGUGGGUGAAGAAGGCCUUCGGGUUGUAAAGCCCUUUUGUUGGGAAAGAAAAGCAGCAGGUUAAUACCCCGCUGUUCUGACGGUACCCAAAGAAUAAGCACCGGCUAACUUCGUG
rnacentral:rRNA from 1 species